AUGACACAUGAGGUGCUAAAGCCUAAAAUUUCUCAGAGGGGGUCUUAAAGACUCUGUGUUGGACAUCUUGGCAACAAUAGUGAUGCACUGAUGGGAAAAUGCAUCUUGGUUUUGGCUGGCCUCCUACAAAACCGCAGGGUAAAAAUGUCCAACAGUAACCCUUCACACGCUCCAUUUCUCACACCAUCUCUCCUGGAUAACUUUUUAAGGAUGACCACGAUACAGCUGAAAACUGAACACAGUGGUUUCCCAGGCAUCUGGAAGCAAGCUGGGGAGAGGGACCUCUGGGCAUCUCCACAUAGAGACGCGCCCUGGACCUCUGACAAAAAGAAGAUCAUAUUAAAAAUGUUGUCGUGAGUCAUUAAAAACAAAAUCAUCAGCUUUAGUUGUUUGAUUUGCAGGACAUAAACAAUCCUAGUUACAGUUAACCUUUAAUGCAUUAAAUUCUAACUGUCUACACCGCUCCUGCGCUCAUCU